AUUAAGCUUUUAAUUUUUUGUUUUGGUCACUCUUGAUAGCAGACGUUGACUGAAACAAAAAAUUAAAAGCUUUAU
rnacentral:miRNA from 1 species